rnacentral:lncRNA from 1 species
UGCGCGUGAGAUUUGGGCCGUCCGCACGCGUGAGAUCUAGAUUGUUCGAUUGCGUGCACGCGGAUCGCCCCCGUGGCUCCGUCCCGCGUGGCCUCCCGCGUUAGUCUCCUUGCCACGCGGCGUAUUCUGGUUGGCCGGGACUGCUGACUGGACUGCUUGUGUGGCUGCUGACGUGGCACAACUUUGCUAAAUUACGUUUUG